CUCGGAUUAGCUCAGUCUGGUAGAGCGCUCGCUUUGGGAGCGAGAGGAUUUUUCAAGUGUUCAAAUCACUUAUCCGAGA
rnacentral:tRNA from 1 species